ensembl:misc_RNA Metazoa_SRP Metazoan signal recognition particle RNA
GCUAGGCAUGGUGGCGGGUGCCUGUAAUCCCAGCUACUUGGGAGGCUGAGGCAGGAGAAUCACUUGAACCCAGGAGGCGGAGGUUGCAGUGAGCAGAGAUCAUGCCACUGUACUCCAGCCUGGGUGACAGAGCGAGACUCAGCCUCAA